rnacentral:rRNA from 1 species
GACGAACCUCCCAAACGUUAUUCGGAAUCACUGGGCUUAAAGGGUACGUAGGCGGCACGAUCAGUCGGGUGUGAAAUCCCUCGGCUCAACCGAGGAACUGCGCCCGAUACUAUCGUGCUCGAGGGAGACAGAGGUGAGCGGAACUGAUGGUGGAGCGGUGAAAUGCGUUGAUAUCAUCAGGAACACCCGUGGCGAAAGCGGCUCACUGGGUCUCUUCUGACGCUGAGGUACGAAAGCUAGGGUAGCGAACGGG